AGAACGAACGCUGGCGGCAGGCUUAACACAUGCAAGUCGAACGCCCCGCAAGGGGAGUGGCAGACGGGUGAGUAACGCGUGGGAAUCUACCCAAUACUACGGAAUAGCUCCGGGAAACUGGAAUUAAUACCGUAUGUGCCCUACGGGGGAAGAUUUAUCGGUAUUGGAUGAGCCCGCGUUGGAUUAGCUAGUUGGUGAGGUAAUGGCCCACCAAGGCGACGAUCCAUAGCUGGUCUGAGAGGAUGAUCAGCCACACUGGGACUGAGACACGGCCCAGACUCCUACGGGUGGCAGCAGUCGAGAAUUUUUGACAAUGGGGGAAACCCUGAUCGAGCGACGCCGCGUGGAGGAUGAAGGUCUUCGGAUUGUAAGCUCCUGUCAUUGGGGAACAAGGUGCAUACGUUAACUGCGUGUGUAUUGAUAGUACCCGAAGAGGAAGAGACGGCUAACUCUGCGCCAGCAGCCGC
rnacentral:rRNA from 1 species